rnacentral:misc_RNA from 1 species
UUUCCGUAGGCGAACCUGCGGAGGGAUCAUUAUCAUAACAUCAACGUUCCACCAUGUCUGACUGUCCCCCUUUUGUACGUAGUUUGUGUGGCUUCGGCUCUCGGUUUUCACCUCAGCAUGUGAUAAUCCACCCUCAUUGAACAAAUCUAUACCUUUGUACUAACCAUCUCCUACUCUUGUAAAAUAAUCUUGAGAUGAACAAAAUACGAAAUAUAAGAACAACUCUUAGCAACGGCUAUCUUUGCUCUCGCAUCGAUGCAGAACGCAGCAGAUC